rnacentral:rRNA from 1 species
UACGUAGGGAGCGAGCGUUGUUCGGAAUUACUGGGCGUAAAGAGUGUGUAGGCGGUGUUCCGAGUCUGUUGUGAAAUCUCCCGGCUUAACUGGGAGGGUGCAGCGGAAACUAGAAUGCUAGAGGGUGGGAGAGGUAAGCGGAAUUCCUGGUGUAGCGGUGAAAUGCGUAGAUAUCGGGAGGAACACCAAUGGCGAAGGCAGCUCGCUGGGCCGGUACUGACGCUGAGGCGCGAAAGCGUGGGGAGCAAACAGG